rnacentral:lncRNA from 1 species
GGGGGCCUUAUUUCUAAUGCAGCUAGCCCUACUGCUAUAUCUUUCCCCCACUGACUAGGGUUGGACCGCACAGUCUAAGCUAAUUCCAAUUGGCUAUUUUAAAGACAGCAGAGGUACAAGCCACACUGGCAGGACAGUUACAGAACAGGUGACUAAGGAUGACUAAGGACAGAACAGGUGACUAAGGAUGACGAAGGACAGAACAGGUGAUUAAGGACAGAGCAAGUGACUAAGGUUGACUAAGGACAGAGCAGGUGACUAAGGACAGAACAGGUGACUAAGGAUGACUAAGGACAGAACAGGUGAGUAAGGACAGAACAGGUGACUAAGGAUGACUAAGGAUAGAACAGGUGACUAAGGGUGACUAAGGAUAGAACAGGUGACUAAGUACAGAACAGGUGACUGAGGAUGAAUAAGGACAGAACAGGUGACUAAGGGUGACUAAGGACAGAGCAGGUGACUAAGGACAGGUGACUACGGAUGACUAAGGACAGAACAGGAGACUAUGGAUGACUAAGGACAGAGCAGGUGACUAAGGACAGAACAGUGACUAUGGAUGACUAAGGACAGAACAGGUGACUACGUAUGACUUAGGACAGAACAGGUGACUAAGGACAGAACAGGUGACUAAGGACAGAGCAGGUGAUAGAGGCUAGGAGCGGGCUGUUUACUGAAACUAGGGGUAAAGAGAUGUAAAGAAUGAGAAAGUUAAACUUUAAAAUGGAGAACAAAGAACAGGGAAGCUGAAUAUACUGACACAUUGGUUCUUUGGAGAGGAACUCAGAACUCAGCGUACUUAACAAUUUUCUCCCUCUUGAAUUUUAAAAGACAUUAACAGGCUAAACUUCGAAGAGGAAUUUAUUGUUUCCUACAGAUGACAAUUAAUAAUCAAUCUUGCAAUGUUUACUGAGGUCACUAUCCUCAGUGCUAUACGUGUUCUGUGUCCCAUAGACUUCAGGGUAACUACAUGGUCCUUAAACUUACAAUCUAAAGUAUUUCCAUGAGACCUUCCUUAAUAGACGUUUGUUCUCAGCCUUCUUUCAAUAGCAACAUCCUUUGUUCACAUGAGGAUGCAUAAAGAAAUACAAUACGUAAAAACAUGUUAUCAGGACCGCUCUCAUUAAGCUGGGUAGGGGGUGGUCACACGAGGGUUUCAGAUCCUCACCCAAGGAUCUCAUCUUUCUCUGCACAAGGGUAGGCUGCACAGCGCCUUUGUAGAUACUUCCGAGAUUGCUUGAAAACUGCCGGUCUGGCCCAGUCCCUCCUAUCACUGACAAAGAAGCUGAGAUCUCGAAAGACACGCCACCCAUGAGCAGUAACUCAGUGCAAAGAAUCUAAAUACCAGAACUCCUGACCCACAAGGCUUUCUCUGUGCAUCCAAGAUGUCCCAAACUGAAAUGGUCUAUGCACGACAGAGAACUUUGAUCACACUCAGAAAACGUCUUUGAAAAUGAAACAUGGCACAUUGCAGAGAUGUCACAAAUGAGACUUCCCUUGAUGGUCCCUGAGAGCGUCUUUGUGUUCCAUGUAGCUGCUCCCAUUAUUUUGGGCAGACAUUGACAGUCUUUGAUGAAACAUUUUUCACCUUGAGUUACAGUAAAUGUUAUCAUCUCAUGUUUUUGGAAAUGCCAUUCAAGGACUUGAGAGAUCAUUUCUAGAUAAUUGUUUAUAACCAUGCCCCUUAUAAUUUCAUUUGAGAUUAUAUGAGAAAAAUCUAAGCAUACCUAUUUAAUAAAGGAUUUGGACAACUGCAUCUCAAACUUUAAUACAAAUUCAAAUCACCUGGGGAUAUUGUUAACUGGCAGAUUCUACUUCAGCACAUCUGGGGCCAGAA